rnacentral:rRNA from 1 species
CCUACGGGCGGCAGCAGUGAGGAAUAUUGGUCAAUGGCCGGAAGGCUGAACCAGCCAUGCCGCGUGAAGGUCAGUGCCCUAUGGGCGUUAAACUUCUUUUUUGCGGGAACAAUAAUGGUCACGUGUGGCCAGACUAGAGUACCGUACGAAUAAGCAUCGGCUAACUCCGUGCCCGCAGCCGCGGUAAUACGGGGGAUGCAAGCGUUAUCCGGAUUUAUUGGGUUUAAAGGGUGCGGAGGCUGUGAGGUAAGUCAGCGUUGAAAUGCCCCCGCUCAACGGGGUGAAGUGCCAUUGAUACUGCCUUGCUGGAAUGCGGAUGCGGUGGGAGGAAUGUGUGGUGUAGCGGUGAAAUGCAUAGAUAUCACACAGAACACCGAUUGCGAAGGCAUCUCACGAAUCCGCGAUUGACGCUGAUGCACGAAAGCGUGGGUAUCAAACAGGAUUAGAUACCCUUGUAGUC